UGCUGCUCUAUACACGCUAAAAGUAGUGUUAUUUACAUGGGUCUGGGGGAGAUAUGCUGCUCUAUACACGCUAAAAGUAUGAUUAUUUACAUGGAGUCUGGUGGAGAUAUGCUGCUCUAUGCACGCUAAAAGUAGUGAUUAUUUACAUGGAGUCUGGUGGAGAUAUGCUUUCCUAUACACGCUAAAAGUAGUGAUUAUUUACAUGGAGUCUGGUGGAGAUAUGCUUUCCUAUACACGCUAAAAGUAGUGGUUAUUUACAUGGAGUCUGGUGGGUUUGGCGAUGGUGAUUUCGGGGCUGUUUUCUAGAUAAACAAAGAGGCUCUUCCUCUUGAACUC